rfam:Morus notabilis contig8086, whole genome shotgun sequence.
UCUGCAGUGAUGAGUUUUUAACACGUAAGAAGAGCAUUAUUGAAUGAUUCUUCAAUGCAAUACACUUGUUACACUUGGCUUGUGAGCAUG